GAAAUGGCCAAAUAAAGAAUUCUCUCCAUCUAUUUCCUACGAUCCCUCAAGGACGCCCCAGCCCCCGAGACGAUCCGCCGCCGCCGAGGACCGAGUGGAACCGCCGCCUCCACGUCGCCGCCGGCGGCGCUGGCCAGGCUCCCCACCGAUGGGCGCGCCGGGUCGCCGCUCCUCGAGGCCAGUUCCCCUCGUUGCUCCAGAUCGCGCCUCAGUUUGUGAUCCCUUGGGGAUCCUGCCAGGCCGCCGCCGCCGAGGACUGAGUGGAGACGCCGCCUCCACGUCGUCGCCGCCGGCGCUGGCCAGGCUCCCCACCGAUGGGCGCGCCGGGUCGCCGCUCCUCGCGGCCAGUUCCCCUCGCUGCUCCAGAUCGCGUCUCGGUUUGUAAUCCCUUGGGGAUCCUGCCGGUGCUUGAGGCGUCCGCGAUGGUGCGGACUCAGGACCGAGCGGUGGGGCACAUCAUGCGUUCUGGUUGAGAGAUUGGUCUGGCUGGCGUGGGAACUGAACUGCCGUCGAUGGAUUUUUUUGGUAGCUUGGCUGCAUGUUGCUUCAGAUUUGGUACUACCCCCAUCUCUCUCUCUCUGUUUGUGUGUGUGUGGGCGUGCGCGCGAAGCAGUCGAUCUCUAAUUGCCGACUGCCGACCCAUCGCCCCAAUGGCCGUCGCAUCAGUUCCAUACCGCUACAGCACUGCCAGCCACCGUCGUUGUAUUGCCUUGGAUUCAGUUGUGGCUUCGGCUGGAACGGUGUUGUCUGAUGCCCUGGUCCAAGCGGGUUUGGUCCGCUGAUGCCAGGUAUGAGAUGCUCUUGAGACUGAUCGCUCCAUGUGGGCAUGCGUGUAAUGGGUAUCAUGGUCUGUAGAGGCAACCUUUUUUGGGUAGAAAAAUGAGGGGUGAUGAUGAUGAUCAAGAUAGUCGUGUUGUAUGGGUACUAAAUAGACCCUGAAUGGGUGACCAUGUUCGGGUUGCCCUUACAGCCCACACUUACCUCUCUUGCAGCCUGUUCAAUUCAUCGCCAAUGUUGGAUUAUCUGUCCACGGUCGUUCUGACAAGUGCAAACCAUGGCAGUUCUCUUACACUGUGAUGGGUAGAUUAUGCAGCAAAAGAUGUAGUACAUUGUAGAUGCUGAUCCAAAAUGCAUAGAAACAUGGGUAGAGAUGGGAACUAUCAAAGCAAUUGGAACUAUCUGGGACGAACAGCUUCAUCAUCUUAUACUGCUAACAUGAUUGACCGAUCUAGGAGAUACUUAUGAGCUUCUGAAGCUCGAUUGUUCAGAUUAUCAUGGGCGAGAUGACAAUGAAGAGCCUGAUAUAGUAAGUGUCGAUCUUCUGAUCUUGGCAUAUAGCAAGUGUUUAGCUUCAUAAAUGAGUUCUGUAGUAUGUGCCUUUCUUCUCCAUAACUGGAUGAAACAUAUGAUUCAGAGGUCGAGGUCCUCUAAAUGGAAUUUGCAGACAUUAUCCUCAAUAAUUGAAUUUGUACCAAACUUGAUGGGUAACUUUAUUUUAAUAUUCUGCUGGCCGUCAUUUGCUCUAUUUGUUUAUUUAUUUUCCUAGCAACUAUGUGCUGUUACAAGCUUCAUUCUGAAUUUUGAUGUAAAUCUCAUGUUCCUAGGUCCACCAUGACAUCAAUGCACCAUUGUCCCGCUAUUUCAUUACACCGGACAGUAAUCAUAUUUUACUGGCAAUCAGCUAAUCAGUGACUAUAGUGAUGUUCUCAUCAUCAAGGCACUGCAAAUAGGUGUUUGUGUAAUUAAAUUAGACAUGUGGCCAAAUUCUUCUAAAGAUGACACUGAUAUUCUCCAUCAAAGUACUGAAUAUGACUUCCGCUGACAGUACUCAUAGUUAUGCUUCCGUUACUGAAAUCUUCAUGAGUGUGGAUCCUAUAUGAUUCUCUUCAUAUAAAAUACUACUAUUUUGGGAAAGGCAUCUAGCUGAGUUUUAAUGAAACUCUUGAGCGAAAAAUAUUUCUAACGGUGUUAGAACGACAACUGACAAGGACUGCCACGAUUAGAGCUACCAUUUGGCCCCAUGUUUCAGUAUGCAGUCAAGCAUGCAAUAAAGGUAAUGACAGGGCAUUUUGUAGUUUCGGGUAGUGCAUGUAGUUUUCGCCAAAUUGUAUGUUACAGUUAACAUCGUAGGAGAUUGGAAUUCUGAAUUUGGAUGCUUUCAUGCAGAUCGAAGAAGUAGAAUACUCCCUCCGAUCCAAAUUACUUGUCGUUGAAAUAGAUGCAUCUAUAAUUGACAUACAUCUAAGAUACAUCCAUUUCAGCAACAAGUAAUACGGAUUGGAGGGAGUAUCAAUUUUGCUGUGUUGAAGUCGUUAUGGAGGUGACAAGGAAUCUAUAUUGCUCUGUAGAUGACGACAUUGUGCAUUGCAAUAUAUAUUGCUCUGUAGAAAAAUACAUUUAUGUGGAGUAUGCUUCAGAUUCAGUGGUAAUGUAAUUUUGGUCGGGCAGGGGUUUGUGAAGAAAACUAGCAAGGUUCAUAGAUGCACCCAGGUGGAAUGUUUACUUUCCAAAUGUCAAGUAUUUAAAAAAAAUUAGACAUAUAAAUGUCUGAGUCCUUUGUGUGCUUGUCAAAUAUCAUGCAAAAAUGAUAAGGAGGACGAGGUUAUGAGGUAAUGUGCUCGGGCGGGAGGAAGAGGUACUGGUUCAAACCAUGAAAGUUCUUAGCUCAUAAUUGCUACCAAUUCUACAGAAAAGGUUGUGAUUUUGUUAACCUGACUAGAGCUUUCAUGUUAUGUCAGUCCUUUAUUUAGAUGAUUUAGCUGUUGACCUACCGUUCCUUUCUAGAUGAUUACUUGCAGUUCUUUUACUAAGGCAGUGCAUCUAGGGUUUCUUUACUUGCUCACUGACCAUUCAGUUCAAUGACGGCCAAUGCGGUAGAAUCGAGGCUGCAACUCUAGCACUUCAAAGAGGAAAAGAAAACAUGACUACUUCAUGGCGAGAGAAGAGGAGGGCAGCGAGGAGCGAACAUGGGGAUGGGUGGCUGGGGCGUUUCUUGCACGAGGAUGGGGAAAUUGGAGUUAUCCAAGACCGGAAAUGUCCCUGUUGCUCUUAGGAAGGAUACUUUAUUUUUCAGUCAUUUGCUAUUACUCCAAGUAAGAACUGCGAUUUUGCAAAGAGUAAGCCAUUUCUUGUGAAUCUUGUAAGUUUCUGCAUUUUGUAGUUCAAGAGCUCCUGGUUUGGUUUGGCCUCGAUCCAAACACGUUGUUAGACUUUCAGUCCAUGGGCUCGGUAAAUCGAGAUCGAGAGAUGUCGUAGACUUUCAACCCAUGGCCUCAGUAGAUCGAGAGAGGGAGAGAGUAGUUAGGUGGCGGCGGCGGCUCCGGAGCACGAGUGCGACAGCGGCAACAGAGCAUGAGCGGGCAUGGACUGGGGACUAGAACAUGGAUGUGGAAGAUGGAGCGACAUCUGUGGUGCGACACCGUGUGGCGGUUGUCCGAGGUGUUGUCGAUGUGGAGCGGUGCCAUUUGGACUGAAGCCUAGCAUCCUAAGAUGGCAGGCUGGUGUCAACGCCGCUAGGGGUGGUGCCGAUGGAGGCGCUGGGACGAGGUAGCGAUGUAGGGGUCGAGAGUAGCUGUUGUAUGUGUGUGUGUCCCCUCCAUUGAUUUGUGACCAAACCCACGGGAAAUCUAGCCAGCAACUGGUAGUGUCUUUCUGAAUUGUGGAGUCUUUCGCUGAGGCCAUGCAUUGAGAAGGUGAACUUCUGAUGCAUCUAUCAUCCAUGGGCUAAAAAUUGAAUUAUCAACAAGUAUGAUGAUAGCCAGUGUUACUGUGAUCUCCAAAGAACAAUAACUAUGCAACAUAGUGCUGAACUUUGACAUUUUCGUUUUGUUAUAAAUUUCCUUUUAAUAUUUCGUAAUUUAUUUAAUUAAUCUUUCUAUUAAUAUUUGGUUUCACUAUAGUAAAUUUAUUUGAAGGUCUCCAUGAUGGCAUAAUUCAAUGUAGAUUGAUGUGUCGAUUAUUUUGUCAUGCAUUUAUUUGCCCAACAUUACCUAGAUACUUAGUGCCAUUACAAUGACAUCCUGUUUUAUUUCAGAAAGUGAUUGCUCCAUCACAUACACAUUAAAAGAAAUUGCACAACUGCACCAUGGCUAUCCAGUAUAUCAAGCAAGAUUAAUCUAAACAUACCUUACAACAUCUCAUUACUCCCAUCGAGGUAAUCUAAACAUGUUCUUAAUGGCGACAAAUUUGAGCAGAAGAUAUUCUUAAUGGCAACAAGUAACUAAUUCUUUCGUUUCUAUGGAAUAUGUAAAUUCAUAUGCAGGUAAGCAGGUUAAUCUAAACAUGCCUUACAGUAUCCCAUUACUCUUGUUGAAGUUUUAUACUGUUAGAUUUCACCUUUGUUUGUAUUAAAUAUCUGAAGUAACGGAGCUUGAUUUUCAGUUUUGAUUUUUCACUCACUUCAUAGCCAACAUUACAGUGGUAUAUGUUGUAUGUAUUUCAGCACUAUACUUUUCCCUCGGUCUAUAUAGUUACUGUUACUUGCCUAAAAGACCGGGAAUUUUCGUUGUUCCGUUUCAACAACACGGUAUAAAUCUAAAUAGUUACUAUUACCUGAGGACAGCUUGUCUUCCCCAACAUGGGAUUUCUUGUUAACUCUACUCAUCUUCGAUGUUUAUACAUGAUUGGCAAGUGUCAGCAACUUAUCGUGUUCACUUUUGGUUAGCAAAGGUUUUGAUAUAACAGUCAGAUAUUUAUGUUUGAGAUUAGCUCAUAGGUUAGACUCUGGGUUCCCUUCCCCUCUGUCGAUCGCUCCAGCAGCGAGAGGGUGGGGGAGCCCCUGUUCUCUGCUUUGGUGUGUAUAUAGGGUGUGGGUUGGUUUCUAGCUGGCAGCGCUCAGGAGGCAGAUGUGCUGCCGAUGCGAAUAAAAUUGGUGUUGUUCCUUUCCCUAUGCGUUGUCAUCCUCUGGGCCUUGACGGGGUGUGUGCAGAUUGGUGUCUCGGGAUCCGUUGGACCUGUCGAGCUUUGGUGUUUCUGGGUUGCCAUGCCGUGGAGAUUUCGUCUCCUGGCUUCGUCCCCAUGGUGGCUGGGCGUGCUUCAUCCCUCAUCAUGGAGCCUAGGAGUCAUGUUCAGGAGUUGGAGCGGCGCCGGAUCUCCCCAUGUCUCGUCCUUAGUGGUUCUUCAUCAUGUUGCAUCUCCGGUGUGCUGGUCCGACUGGACCGAGGUUGACGACUUCCUGGCUGCAAAGAACCUGUCUACACUCCACAAGAUCAUGCCGGCAAAAUGUAGAGCGGCGCCUGAUCUCCCCAUGCCUCGUCCUCGGUGCUUCUUUGUCAUGUUGCACCUUCGGUGUGAUGGUUCUACUGGACAGAGGUUAACGACUUCCCGGUCGCGAAGAAUCCGUCCGCACUCUACAAGGUAACGUCGGCUCCAUGUUGGAGCGGGAGCGCGCCUUGAGCCCGCAUCUGAGUUUGUUGUAUCUGAGUUUGCGGUGGGUCGAAGCCCCAAGGACUUGAUUGUGAUUUGUGUUUUCUCUAGGGUGCUUAUACCACUGGUGUUCUUUAAUAUAUGACCUGGGUCUUCUCCACAAGAAAGGGUGAUAUCUAUCAUUUGUAAUGCAUUGCACACUACAGAGUUAUGUGUUUGUGCUACUUUCUUUA